AGAAUGCUUCUAGUGGAGCAAAUUGUUCUUUCUUCCCUUAGAAGAGAUUUCUCUCCAACAGUUAGAAGGGAGUGUUUUGAUUGACGUGUUCGUUCCCCACAGAAUUUCACAUCAUUCCUUGAUAAGUUCCCCAGUAGAGUUUCUCCUACGACGAAUUUUAUUGAUAUUCAGCCACCUGUUCCCAGAAUUGAUGAGAAAUUCCUAGCAGUUGGAAGUUGUGACUUUGCAUGUCCCUAACUGUGAUCGAUGUCUUCCCG
rnacentral:lncRNA from 1 species